rnacentral:rRNA from 1 species
AUACGGAGGGUGCAAGCGUUACUCGGAAUCACUGGGCGUAAAGCGCGCGCAGGCGGUCUUUUAAGUUGGAUGUGAAAGCCUACGGCUCAACCGUAGAACUGCAUCCAAAACUAUUAGACUAGAGUGUGGGAGAGGAAGAUGGAAUUAGUUGUGUAGGGGUAAAAUCCGUAGAGAUAACUAGGAAUACCAAAAGCGAAGGCAAUCUUCUGGAACACUACUGACGCUGAGGCGCGAAGGCGUGGGGAGCAAACAGGAUUAGAUACCCGAGUAGUCC